AUACCAUGAUGGGGGCACUUCCUUAAGAGCUCUUUGAAUCUCUCCCAUGCAUCCUACAGUGAUUCCCCGUCCAUCUGGUAGAAAUUAUUAAUUUCCCCUCUCAACUU